rnacentral:rRNA from 1 species
ACGGAAGGCAGCAGUGGGGAAUAUUGCACAAUGGGCGAAAGCCUGAUGCAGCGACGCCGCGUGAGUGAAGAAGUAUCUCGGUAUGUAAAGCUCUAUCAGCAGGGAAGAAAAUGACGGUACCUGACUAAGAAGCCCCGGCUAACUACGUGCCAGCAGCCGCGGUAAUACGUAGGGGGCAAGCGUUAUCCAGAUUUACUGGGUGUAAAGGGAGCGUAGACGGUUUGGCAAGUCUGAAGUGAAAUGCGGGGGCUCAACUCCUGAACUGCUUUGGAAACUGUCGAACUAGAGUGCAGGAGAGGUAAGUGGAAUUCCUAGUGUAGCGGUGAAAUGCGUAGAUAUUAGGAGGAACACCAGUGGCGAAGGCGGCUUACUGGACUGUAACUGACGUUGAGGCUCGAAAGCGUGGGGAGCAAACAGGAUUAGAUACCCUGGUA